CCUACGGGUGGCAGCAGUGAGGAAUAUUGGUCAAUGGACGCAAGUCUGAACCAGCCAUGCCGCGUGCAGGAAGACGGCUCUAUGAGUUGUAAACUGCUUUUGUACGAGGGUAAAUCCCGAUACGUGUAUCGGGUUGAAAGUAUCGUACGAAUAAUGAUCGGCUAACUCCGUGCCAGCAGCCGCGGUAAUACGGAGGAUGCGAGCGUUAUCCGGAUUUAUUGGGUUUAAAGGGUGCGCAGGCGGUCUGUUAAGUCAGCGGUAAAAGCCAGGGCCUCAAACCCGGCCCGCCGUUGAAACUGGCAGUAUCGAGUUGGAGAGAAGUAUGCGGAAUGCGCGGUGUAGCGGUGAAAUGCAUAGAUAUCGCGCAGAACUCCGAUUGCGAAGGCAGCAUGACGGCUCCACACUGACGCUGAGGCACGAAAGCGUGGGUAUCGAACAGGAUUAGAUACCCUGGUAGUC
rnacentral:rRNA from 1 species